GUCAAGGUGGUGGAGUGGUUAACACGUUCGCCUGCUAUAGUCUGACUCAAAACAGGUCAGCACAAGCAUUAGCGGAUGCCCUUUGGGCGCGCAGGUUCGAAUCCUGUCCUUGACG